AUGGGGGUCUUCUCGGCAUUCAAGGCCCCCGCAGACCCGAAGGGAGCGGCUGGAGAGCCCGGGAGCGAGAGUUCUCAGGUCUGGGCGCCCCAAGGCCCCGCGGGGAGCCGGUGGGGGAGGGAGGGGUCCCCGCGUAGCCCCGUCCGGACCCCGCACGCUUCCCACCACCCCCGCCCCGUGCCCUCAGGCCCCGGCCCCGCGCCCCCGCCGCCGCCCCCCUCCGGCUCCCGCCGCCACUCGCCGCGGCCCGACCGGUGCCCCGGAGGGGGACCCGGCCCCCGGCCCCGCCCGCGGGCGGGAGGAGCGAGGCGCGGGGAGGGAGCGCGCCCACACCCCGCCCCCGCCCCCGGAGCCAGCCCGCGGAGCCCGCGGCCAGGGCGGCGCAGACCGGCCCAGCCACUCGCCCGGGCUGCGCGCCGGGACGCGCCCGCCACCGCCCCUGCCGCGGCGUCCGCCCCCGGCCCCGGCCCCGGCCCCCGGGCUCGCCGAGAGAAGGUAACCGCGCGCCGGGGGGCGUGGACGCCGGCGGGGGGCUGCACCCUCCUAGGCGCCCGGGGGCCGGGCCGGGGGGCGGGGGCGGGGGCGGCCAGCCGGGGACGGCGCCCCCGGGUGCCUGGGGGAGGCCCGGCGCCCAGGCCGCGGGAGCGGCGCGGGGUCCCUGCAAGUUCGGGGACGGGGCUUCGCGCGGCCCCCGGCGGGCGCAGAGCUGCGGCGGCGAGCGGGAGCGCGGACGGCGGAGGAGGGGGCGAGCGGGGGCCGUCUACGCUCCUUCCUGCCCCCCGAGAGGAAGGGAAGGCAGGGGAGGGGGCGGUGGGCCGGAAUGUCGGGCCCCUCGGCGAGGCCGGCGCGGAGAGCGGGAAGUGGGGGGCGGGAGGGCCCGCUGGGGAGAGGGACCAGGCACCCUGCCCCCUCCCCACCCGCCGCAUUCCUGGCCGAGCGGCGGAUGAGGUCAUCCCGUCCGGUUCCCCUCGGGCCACGGCAGCCGGCUGUCCCCUGCCCCCGCCGAUCGACCCUCCCCAGGCUAACCCCCUGCCUCCCGGAGGGAAUGUUUUAUGGCCAGAGUCUUUCCGGGACUUCCAGUCCGGACGGGCCUCGGGAUUGUCCAGUCCUUGCCUCAACCAUGCUAGACCCGCAUGGAAGCCCGGAGCCCAUUUUCUAGACGGGAAAACUGAGGCCUAG
rnacentral:lncRNA from 1 species